AUGGAUCACGGCCUUAAGAUUGCUGUAUGGAAUGUGCGCGGCCUGAAUUCACGGAGCCGGCGCACCGCCAUUCGCUCGCUGUUGGACACCACUGCUGCCUCCAUUGUAUGCUUGCAGGAAACUAAGAUGGAGUUGCUUUGUUCGUCUACUGUUCUUGACACCCUCGGUUCAGAGUUCGAUGACUAUACAUACCUCCCGGCUCUUGGCACGCGGGCGGCAUCUUACUGGCUUGGAAGAGCAGGGCCGUGA
rnacentral:rRNA from 1 species